GCAUACAUUCCGAUGAUGCUUGUACAUUCGAAGUUCUUUUUCCGAGGUCUGACGGAAAUGCCCGAGAUGAUGCAAUUGGACUAACUGUCAGACGUUGAAUAGAUCAAGGAAAGAAGAAAAACAAUACUAUUGAUUCAAUAUAGAAAAUAUAGAAAACCAAUAUUAUAGUGAGAGCUACAUGUAUUGAGAGGUCUGCAAACAAAAAACCACUGGAUCAGGAAAGCUGAAAGUUAUUUGGAAGCAUGCUCGGAAGUGCAGAUUUUAAAUUUUGAACCCUUGAACACCAGGAAUAAGCCAAAGCCAAAAUUGUGGAUCAAAUUUUUGCAUUGAAAUAUAUAGGGAAAAACCUUACACUUAUAUAUGGAUCAAUCCUUGAGUAGUCUACUAGAUUUUAAAUUGUUCAAAUAAUGACCCGUGGAGUAGGAUGGGGCGACAAAAGUUAAGAUGACAUGGGGUGGUUAUCACAGAAUGAGAUGUCAACUUUUUUAGAAUUGUGAAGCUAAUAACGAUCGUAAACAGAUUUCCAAAGAUGUGCUGUAUAACUGUAAAUGAAGAAAUUGCUUGUCCACAGUUUCCAGAUGUUGUAUUUUAAAGUGUAGUUUCGGAAAGAAGAGGACAUCCCAAUUUUACAGAAUAAAUUAAAGAAAUGUCAGAAGAAAUGUGGUUUCUGGUCCCGAGCAUUCCAUUCUUGGAGGUUAAAGAGUGGCUUCACCAUACAAUGCCAAGCCCUUGCCGCUACGUCGCGUGCCUCCCGGUGGAUAGUGGGUAGUGGCAUCCCAAUUCUGCCGGGGUUUACAAAUCUAGGGUUGUCGAUAAUGGACGAAUUCCAACAUCCUUGUAAAUUUGAGUGCUUGGCUCGCAUGUGACGCCGAAGCAUGUUCAUCUUAAAUGAGGAAAAGGAACAUGAUGAAGAGUAACAAUAGUACACAGGAACUCGAGCCUUAUGAUAUUUGAUGAAAUGUGCCCUGUACGAUCCAAUCUUUUGGAAGGUAUGAUUCGUCAAGGGACAGUUCUGUAUAUGGCACGUGUCUCCCUCGGACGGCCACUCCUUCUGAAUCAUAUCCUCCCCACAGAGGGCCUCCAUCUCCUCGUCUGGAACACUUAAAUCAAGAACUUCUGACAUCUGAGAAACAUGAAAACAUUGUAAAACAAGGAUUAGAACAGUAUUAAAGCAAAUUAAUUACCAUCAAAUCAAGUUUUGAUGUCAAUUUAUCUCCAUGAAAAUAACUUUUAAGAUUAAAAUCUCAAAUUCUAAGACUUUAAA